rnacentral:rRNA from 1 species
GGUUAAGCGACUAAGCGUACACGGUGGAUGCCCUGGCAGUCAGAGGCGAUGAAGGACGUGCUAAUCUGCGAAAAGCGCCGGCGAGGUGAUAUGAACCUUUGACCCGGCGAUGUCCGAAUGGGGAAACCCAGUGUGUUUCGACACACUAUCGUUAACUGAAUACAUAGGUUAACGAGGCGAACCGGGGGAACUGAAACAUCUAAGUACCCCGAGGAAAAGAAAUCAACCGAGAUUCCCCCAGUAGCGGCGAGCGAACGGGGAGCAGCCCGGAGUCUGAAUCAGCUUGUGUGUUAGUGGAACGGUCUGGAAAGUCCGACGGUACAGGGUGAUAGUCCCGUACACGAAAAUGCACAUGCUGUGAACUCGAAGAGUAGGGCGGGACACGUGGUAUCCUGUCUGAAUAUGGGGGGACCAUCCUCCAAGGCUAAAUACUCCUGACUGACCGAUAGUGAACCAGUACCGUGAGGGAAAGGCGAAAAGAACCCCGGCGAGGGGAGUGAAAAAGAACCUGAAACCGUGUACGUACAAGCAGUGGGAGCCUCUUUAUGGGGUGACUGCGUACCUUUUGUAUAAUGGGUCAGCGACUUAUAUUCUGUAGCAAGGUUAACCGUAUAGGGGAGCCGAAGGGAAACCGAGUCUUAACUGGGCGUUAAGUUGCAGGGUAUAGACCCGAAACCCGGUGAUCUAGCCAUGGGCAGGUUGAAGGUUGGGUAACACUAACUGGAGGACCGAACCGACUAAUGUUGAAAAAUUAGCGGAUGACCUGUGGCUGGGGGUGAAAGGCCAAUCAAACCGGGAGAUAGCUGGUUCUCCCCGAAAGCUAUUUAGGUAGCGCCUCGUGAACUCAUCUUCGGGGGUAGAGCACUGUUUCGGCUAGGGGGCCAUCCCGGCUUACCAACCCGAUGCAAACUACGAAUACCGAAGAAUGUUAUCACGGGAGACACACGGCGGGUGCUAACGUCCGUCGUGAAGAGGGAAACAACCCAGACCGCCAGCUAAGGUCCCAAAGUCAUGGUUAAGUGGGAAACGAUGUGGGAAGGCACAGACAGCCAGGAUGUUGGCUUAGAAGCAGCCAUCAUUUAAAGAAAGCGUAAUAGCUCACUGGUCGAGUCGGCCUGCGCGGAAGAUGUAACGGGGCUAAACCAUGCACCGAAGCUGCGGCAGCGACGCUUAUGCGUUGUUGGGUAGGGGAGCGUUCUGUAAGCCGUUGAAGGUGGCCUGUGAGGGUUGCUGGAGGUAUCAGAAGUGCGAAUGCUGACAUAAGUAACGAUAAAGCGGGUGAAAAGCCCGCUCGCCGGAAGACCAAGGGUUCCUGUCCAACGUUAAUCGGGGCAGGGUGAGUCGACCCCUAAGGCGAGGCCGAAAGGCGUAGUCGAUGGGAAACAGGUUAAUAUUCCUGUACUUGGUGUUACUGCGAAGGGGGGACGGAGAAGGCUAUGUCAGCCGGGCGACGGUUGUCCCGGUUUAAGCAUGUAGGCGGAGGUUCCAGGUAAAUCCGGUACCUUGUUAACGCUGAGGUGUGAUGACGAGGCACUACGGUGCUGAAGUGAUAAAUGCCCUGCUUCCAGGAAAAGCCUCUAAGCAUCAGGUAACACGAAAUCGUACCCCAAACCGACACAGGUGGUCAGGUAGAGAAUACCAAGGCGCUUGAGAGAACUCGGGUGAAGGAACUAGGCAAAAUGGUGCCGUAACUUCGGGAGAAGGCACGCUGAUAUGUAGGUGAAGCCCCUGCGGGCGGAGCUGAAAUCAGUCGAAGAUACCAGCUGGCUGCAACUGUUUAUUAAAAACACAGCACUGUGCAAACACGAAAGUGGACGUAUACGGUGUGACGCCUGCCCGGUGCCGGAAGGUUAAUUGAUGGGGUUAGCGGCAACGCGAAGCUCUUGAUCGAAGCCCCGGUAAACGGCGGCCGUAACUAUAACGGUCCUAAGGUAGCGAAAUUCCUUGUCGGGUAAGUUCCGACCUGCACGAAUGGCGUAAUGAUGGCCAGGCUGUCUCCACCCGAGACUCAGUGAAAUUGAACUCGCUGUGAAGAUGCAGUGUACCCGCGGCAAGACGGAAAGACCCCGUGAACCUUUACUAUAGCUUGACACUGAACACUGGUCCUUGAUGUGUAGGAUAGGUGGGAGGCUUUGAAGCGUGGACGCCAGUCUGCGUGGAGCCGCCCUUGAAAUACCACCCUUUAAUGGCUGGUGUUCUAACGUAGACCCGUAAUCCGGGUUGCGGACAGUGUCUGGUGGGUAGUUUGACUGGGGCGGUCUCCUCCCAAAGAGUAACGGAGGAGCACGAAGGUUGGCUAAUCCUGGUCGGACAUCAGGAGGUUAGUGCAAUGGCAUAAGCCAGCUUGACUGCGAGCGUGACGGCGCGAGCAGGUGCGAAAGCAGGUCAUAGUGAUCCGGUGGUUCUGAAUGGAAGGGCCAUCGCUCAACGGAUAAAAGGUACUCCGGGGAUAACAGGCUGAUACCGCCCAAGAGUUCAUAUCGACGGCGGUGUUUGGCACCUCGAUGUCGGCUCAUCACAUCCUGGGGCUGAAGUAGGUCCCAAGGGUAUGGCUGUUCGCCAUUUAAAGUGGUACGCGAGCUGGGUUUAGAACGUCGUGAGACAGUUCGGUCCCUAUCUGCCGUGGGCGCUGGAGAAUUGAGGGGGGCUGCUCCUAGUACGAGAGGACCGGAGUGGACGCAUCACUGGUGUUCGGGUUGUCAUGCCAAUGGCACUGCCCGGUAGCUAAAUGCGGAAGAGAUAAGUGCUGAAAGCAUCUAAGCACGAAACUUGCCCCGAGAUGAGUUCUCCCUGAGACUUUAAGUCUCCUGAAGGAACGUUGAAGACGACGACGUUGAUAGGUCGGGUGUGUAAGCGCAGCGAUGCGUUGAGCUAACCGAUACUAAUGAACCGUGAGGCUUAACCUU